ensembl:snRNA U6 U6 spliceosomal RNA
AUGCUCACUAUGGUAACAGCACAUAUACUAAAGUUGGAACCAAACAGAAGGUUAGCAUGGCCCCUAUGCAAGUAUGACACACAAAUCCAUGAAGUGGUCCAUACUCAC